AAACCAAUGCUGCCGCUUGAAAAACCCCUCCAACAACGUCGCCAAUCAAUGCUAAAUCUGAGUUUUGGGAGACGAAGCGUAGAUCGAGUUCCUUCGACAGAGAGACGGUGGUGUGUCACUCAACCACCAGUGAGGGCAAGCUUUCUAGCAGCGAUUAGGUGUCUCGAAGUGGUUGACGGCGGCGCUUAGGGCUCCGGCGUCCCUGGCUCUAUAUUAAGGUGGUCCCGGUUGUGAGUUUCGCCUUUUACCCUCAACGGCGAUAGGAGGAGGUUAUGGGGCUAAAAUCAGGAAUAGCAUAAGGCUGAGGAGGGUAACAUCGGUAAGCCUCACUGGCGUGGGAGGUGAAUUAGAGAUGUAGCCAAACCAUUUACACUUCAAGUAUUUUUAAUUAAGGGUUGGAUUGGAGCUGACUGAAGAUUUAUGAGUUUCAAGCAAUUUUUCUUUAACUGUAUGAACUGCACUUUGUGGGCGACUUGGCGGGUUAUUAUGUAAAACUAUGUAAGCAAAGAUAAUAUUGUCCUUAUAUAUGGGGUUUAGGUGAUUGAGAAGUGGUAGGUAGGUAUGGCUGGGAAAUCAAGCAUAGGGCUGCCAUGCCAAUGCUGCCUACUUGGCGGGUUAUUAUGUAAAACUAUGUAAGCAAAGAUAAUAUUGUCUUGGUUCGAACUUUAAUCU